UACGUAGGGGGCUAGCGUUGUCCGGAUUUAUUGGGCGUAAAGAGCGUGUAGGCGGCCAGGUAUGGCUGCUGUGAAAACUCGAGGCUCAACCUCGAGACGUCGGCGGAAACCAUCUGGCUAGAGUCCGGAAGAGGAGAGUGGAAUUCCUGGUGUAGCGGUGAAAUGCGCAGAUAUCAGGAAGAACACCAAUGGCGAAGGCAGCUCUCUGGGACGGUACUGACGCUGAGACGCGAAAGCGUGGGGAGCGAACAGG
rnacentral:rRNA from 1 species